GAAUAAUGCCAGCUUUCAAGAGAUCAUCACAGAUCUCCCGCACCACGAUGCGUUCGUGGUGCGACAGAUGGCGGGGACGGCAGAAAAUGGGAGUUUGGCUAGUCAGUUUUAUUUUCAUCUAAUUCACGGGCUUCACUAACUAUGGGGCAACCUGUACAUAUGCAGUGGAAAUAAUAAACUUUAAGUCUGCGGCUUGCUCUUCCCGUAAAGUGGGUUCUAUAUCAAACUCUGACUCAUUAGCAGCAGGGACUUCAAUGGCAUUUAUAGCCCUAAGUGCAUCAUUCAGUGUUUCCGAAAGUACAGCCGAAGUUUCUAGAAGGGGAGAAUCAAACGACGAUUCGGCAGAUACAAUCUCAUUCUCAUCGUGCGGUAGUACCGCUAUAUCUUUCCUCAAUAUAUCAAAUGACUUCAGAACAGCAUUCUUUCAAUUUACAGAGUAUAAUAUUAAUUUUAUACAGGAGAUCUCUGCGACUAAUCAUUGGCAGCAACCGAAGUUGCACCAUUGGGUAAAACUUCAAACGUAUGGAUGGUCUCCGUGCCGCGGAGGUGAAUUCUAGACCGAAGUUGGCUAUUUCCUAAACCACGGCAGUUCAAUCUACUGGGACCAAGACGGCACUUGGGGGGGACUUCAUAUUCGGGCAGUCCGAAGAGUUUUAUCCACUUGAUCACAAACAAAAGCAACACUCACCAGUUGUAGAUGGUUCAAUCUAUCCCCUACAUCAUCAGGAGCGGCGGCGGCAGUUCUCAUCCGAGACGGGCAGUUUUUAUAAACGUGGCCCACUAUGCCACACUUGAUGCAGGCAUUUUGGAGGUCUUAUCGGUUUCGGGCAUCGGCUUUUGUAAUGCCCCCAUCCAGAGCAGUUAAAACAUCGGGUUUCACUUGUUGCAGUGCUUGAAGAUUUAUUUCCAAACGACGAAGCAGGUGUUGUUGGCUGUACUUUCACGCUGAGACUUUGCUUGGAGGCAGCCGCCUGCAUACAGAAACGCUCGUAUCGCUCCAUUAGGGGCUUCAGUUCGGCCACCGUGCGCGCUGAAUACAGCAUGACGACUCGAGUAGAGUUAUCCCGCAAUCCAUCGAUGAUCAUAUCGACCAACUCGUUCUCUGGAAUCGGAGCGUUCAUAGCAAUCUCCUGCAUCUCGAUUGCGAAUCUUAAGCAUCCUUCUCCUGCCUUAAUGCGCCGGCUCCGUGGUACACCUCUUCAACACUGCGCGAGCGUCCAAACUCUCGGAGGAGGAUCGCUUUGAGUUCCUCAUAGCUGUGCACCGAUACCGUGCGCAGCAACACCGCCGCCGUCCCCUCCAGCAUGCGACGGCAUGCAAUCAACCGUAGGCGAUCAUUUAACUUAUCCGCUGAGAACCGGGCCACCAUGCUUUCAAUCACACUUAAGUCACUGACUUGCUGCCUCGGUGCUCGGAAUUCAUCCAUGUUCUGCAACUGUAGCACUUCAUGUUGUUUCCGCAGCGUCGUCAGUUGCUCGUCCCGACUGGGGAAGGCGGGAGCAGCCGGUGUGGUAGCGGCGGCGACAGACGGCACGGAGGGCGCGAGGGCGGGCAUAUCUUUCCAUGGGUCCGCAGCCCAGGGAACGUCCGGGCCAGUGACGGGUGCGGCCAGCGAGAUAGCAGCCCGCAUCGCAGACACGUAGGCGGCGGACACCCCAUCAGUGUGCACAGCAGAGGCAGGUGCGGCAGCGGCGGGCACAAUUAAGGCGGCAGCGGGUGCAAUGGCGGCGGUUACAGCAGUAGAUGCGGCGGCGGGUACAGCAGUAGAUGCGGCGGCGGCGGGUACAGCAGUGGAUGCGGCGGUGGGCGCGGCCGCAGCAGCCACGGCAACUGGGUCAGUAGCAGCGGUGGGCGUGGAGGCGGCCACCCUGGAUGUGGAUCGUGUGGCCUGCCUUGUACCGCAAUAUAUGUCCUUUCGGGUAGUCAUCCCACUUCUGAGUUGUAAUAACCUAUUUAUUAUAGAAAAAGUAUAAGGAUUAGUCUAGAUGACAAAGAUUAAUUUUCUUGGUUCGCAGCGAGUGCAUCUGUUCUGUUGCGUUGCCGGAAAAAGAAGAAGGAGACACUCUCCAGAGUGGCCUUAGGCCGCAUACCAAUAGACGCCUUAAUACUAACAAUCGAUACUUAGAAAUACUUACAUCGAUAUAUGUGUAAACACUUAACAUAAGUUAUAAAUAACUGGCAUCUUACAUAUGGAAGAACUCUUAUUGUUAGACAAAAUGAUGAAAACACUACAGCGACCACCUUUUUGCCAUAAUUAAAGAAGACGAAAUCCAAAACACUCUUGACAACUUAAAUUCUUUUGACGGAAACAUUAAGUUUACAAUAGCGUUGGAAAAUGUAAACAAAUUGACAUAUCUAGACUCAUCAAUAUACAGCCGAGAAAACGAGCUAAAAUUAAAAUCGUCCAAAAAACCAACAGCUUCAGCAUCAUCAUACCAUCCAACAGGACUAAUGAAGAAAAGUGUGAUAAAAUGUAUAUAGGGACAACCAAAUCGAGGCUAAAAACUAGACUAUCACAACAUAGAUCUGACUACAAACUUUGUCAACACUCCAAUGUACAAAAAACGGCACUGUGCCGCCAGUGGACAUUCCCCAUAUUUUGACGAAGUAAACAAAAUAGACCAAGAACAACACUACAACAUUACAUUGUCGUUAAAUUAAUGUUAAAGAUAAUCACAAUUAAAUGUUUUUAUAGUUGCCCUGAAGACGACCACCGAUGAGUGGUCGAAAUAUAUCAGACCAUACAGCAUUUCAUCGUCUAUUUGUACGACAGCCAUGUAAUAUAGUUAUCCACUUUUAGUUAAAUUUGGCACAGUCAUUAAUAGGUAUAAUAAACCAACAAAUGUUAACUUUAAUGAUAAUAGAUUAGGAAAUAAUGACAACCAAUGGAUUCUACGGACGUAUAUGAUAAAUUCACCCGAUAUUGAUCAAUUUUGUUACAGUGUUAGUUUAUAAAUAUAAUAAAUAUUACCAAUAUAAGAUUUUAUGACAUAUGAAGCUAUAUGAAAUAGUGAUCCGAUCAGGCUGAAGCCAAGAUAUACAAACU